AUACAGUUUGGAGUUUGCAGGAGAGACUCCUGUGAAAACUGAACUCUUUACUUCAAAUGAAGACAUUCAGUCCUUUGACAUGUACUGGCGGAGAGGAUGUGUGGUUUGGUCUAAUGGGACGGGCCACGUAAAGACUAACAUACAGUCUCAGGACUUGUCCGAGUACAUCCUGACUUUAAAACCUGCCUGUAUCGUCAGAGUUGACCAGAGGACUGGGAAUCUGUAUUGGCUGGCCUGUGAUGAACUUUCCAUUGGCGUUUCUACCAUUGGCCCCCUUGACCAGAGUAUCUCCAGACUGCUAUAUCAAGCCAGAACUGCAAUCCUAGACCUCUUUGUGGACUGGCUGAGAGGAAAGCUGUACUGGCUAGAGGGAGGUCAGAUCAUGAGAAUGAAACUGGGCCUGAUUGGUGGAAAUGCAGAGGCUAUCUUCAGCUUAGAGGAGGAUAGAGUCAAAACCAUUGUGUUUGACCGUAAAGGGAAUGGCUUCCUUUGGAACAUGGAGUCUUGUGAGUGUCUUUUCUUUGUCACUGAACCGUUAGUGUGCACGCUACAGGUUUGCAUUUACUUCAGCUGAAUGUGAUGUCAUUUGCUUCAGACUUGCAGGUUAUGAGUCUACUGAAGAUGAGAAGGUACUCGGCUGGUAAAGACUGGGUCGUUCCUGGCUCCAUCAUGGCUGCUUAUGAACCCUACAUGGUGACCUUGUUCAAUAACAUCCUGACAGUGUGGAAUCGCAAAGAUGGAGCUCGCGUCUCAGGGGUGGCGGUAGAGAAUGGAGUUGUUAGCUUAUCUGUUGCCCUCAGGGAAGUCCAACAAGGUUUGUAAUGUUCUUCUGGGUUUGAUUUUGUGUCUUUAUGCCACGGUUAUUUAUUUAUUUUUUGUUUUGUAUGCACUUUGGAUACAACAACCAAAGAUGUGCGUCCUACUGAGGUGACCUGCAAAAGUCCCCAAGUCUCUUGUCGAGGAUCAGCCAUGUGUAUCAGCCGAUCUCAGCGCUGUGAUGGGAAGAGAGACUGUCCGGAUGGAUCUGAUGAGGCCUCAUGUUUGCACAUGUGUGCAAAGCCAGGUAUGCUUUAUGCCAGGCAUAUUUCACCCAAAAAUCCUAUACUAAAAGU
rnacentral:lncRNA from 1 species